rnacentral:lncRNA from 1 species
GGGAUUCCUUUAUGAGGUGCAACCAAAACAGCUGUUUGACAUAGCAACAGGGAUAUUCUGUCAAGGUGUCUCUCUAGCAUUUGUUCUUAAUACCGUUGUGGUUUUGAUCACUAAAAUGGCUGUGACUUUUGGACUCUCGUUGAGUGUUUCUUGGAUUUGCUGUCUGCUAAUUGGAGGGAUAACUUGUUUUACACUUAAAGGUAAUUCUAAUGGGCAUCAUGCCUACACUGGACCUGAACCAACUGGAUCCUAUGCCAAAGCAAGUGUGGUGCCUAGUCCAAAUGCUAAAGCUACUGGCCACAAUGCCACGUCAGCAGAAGCUACUGGCCACAAUGCCACGUCAGCAGAAGCUACUGGCCACAAUGCCACGUCAGCAGAAGCUACUGGCCACAAUGCCACGUCAGCAGAAGCUACUGGCCACAAUGCCACGUCAGCAGAAGCUACUGGCCACAAUGCCACGUCAGCAGAAGCUACUGGCCACAAUGCCACGUCAGCAGAAUCUACUGGCCACAAUGCCCCGUCAAGUGUGAAGAGAAGCGCCUCAGCAGAAGCGUCCGGCCCCGGCGCCUCAGCAGAAGCGUCCGGCCCCGGCGCCUCAGCAAUAGCAUCCGGCCCCGGCGCCUCAGCAAUAGCG